AACGAACGCUGGCGGCAUGCCUAACACAUGCAAGUCGAACGAGACCUUCGGGUCUAGUGGCGCACGGGUGCGUAACGCGUGGGAACCUGCCCUUAGGUUCGGAAUAACUCCCCGAAAGGGGUGCUAAUACCGGAUAAUGUCUUCGGACCAAAGAUUUAUCGCCUUUGGAUGGGCCCGCGUUGGAUUAGCUAGUUGGUAGGGUAAAAGCCUACCAAGGCGACGACCAUAGCUGGUCUGAGAGGAUGAUCAGCCACACUGGGACUGAGACACGGCCCAGACUCCUACGGGAGGCAGCAGUGGGGAAUAUUGGACAAUGGGCGAAAGCCUGAUCCAGCAAUGCCGCGUGAGUGAUGAAGGCCUUAGGGUUGUAAAGCUCUUUUACCCGGGAUGAUAAUGACAGUACCGGGAGAAUAAGCUCCGGCUAACUCCGU
rnacentral:rRNA from 1 species